rnacentral:rRNA from 1 species
CCAGCAGCUGCGGUAAUUCCAGCUCCAAUAGCGUAUAUUAAAGUUGUUGCAGUUAAAAAGCUCGUAGUUGGAUUUCUGGUGAGAUGAAUUAUGUCUGGAUCGAAAGGUCUCGUUCAUGGUUUGUUUUGCCCUUCUUGUCAGGAACCCGCUGGAAUUUAUUUUUCGACGGUGGAAUGGCAUCUUUUACUGUGAAAAAAUUAGAGUGUUCAAAGCAGGCAUCGCCGUUGAAUACAUUAGCAUGGAAUAAUAAGAUAAGACUUUGGUGGUCUAUUUUGUUGGUUUGCACGCCAAGGUAAUGAUUAAUAGGGAUAGUUGGGGGUAUUCGUAUUCUAUUGCUAGAGGUGAAAUUCUUAAAUUUAUGGAAGACGAACUACUGCGAAAGCAUUUACCAAGGAUGUUUUCAUUAAUCAAGAACGAAAGU